AAUACUUUCUCUUUUAGUAGCUAAACAUAAAAGUGAGCUGCUCUUUCGAUCGUCACCGACCCAAGCCUCCAUAAUCGCUUGCUAGAGGAGUCUGCUAUCCUCACCGGCCAGAGCCUCCAUCAUCGCUUGCUAGAGGAGUCUGCUAUCGUCUCCGGCCAGAGCCUCCAUCAUCGCUGACCAGAGACUCCAUCGUCACUAGCCAUAACCUCCAUCAUUGCCGGCAUACCUGGUGUUUCUCAGAGCUCUAGCCAUGGUUAGAUUUCUGGAAAUGAAAUACGACAUACUAUUUCUACUAAGGUAUGUUUUCGAGCAUGUAUUGACAAUCCUAAUUUUUACAACCAUUCCUCCCAUUUUUCUGUCCCUCAUAAGCUUCUCCUAUUUAACAACAUGAAGCUUUCUAUGUUUGGCAUUCCCCUCCCAGAAGAACUGAUUCCUUAAAUGCAUGUCAUGGUAGAUUUUAAUUUAAGCUCACUGUUUUGUGGAUAUUAUGUAGAUCAUUGCAGUAUUUCUAAUUUUUUUUAAUUAUUUCUUGAAUAUUGUCUGUGCAUGAUAACUUAUAGGAUGGGUCAAAUUUGGCAUUGCUGA